GACCGACCUUACUGUCCUUCAUCUGCUCUCACCCAGAGGCCCUUCAUAUCCCCACACAUUUAGUCCAUUAUAUAAACCUACAGAUUUUACUGACCUUUAAAACGGAUCCAACCUGUUUUCUCAAAAGCGUUGCAGCACAAAGAUCACCAUCCGAACCAGAACUGUGGGACUUUUUCAUUUCUGAUAUUUCUGUUUUGAUCCUGUUUUAACUGUUUAUUCACUUUGAAAAGUUUCUUAAAUUUUUUUUUCUAUUUUGCUGUAAAUGAACAGUUUCUCUCAUCGUCGUUCCUCCAGUAACGGGCGAUAUACCGUGAUCAGUUUGAUCGUCCCUGAAUAGUUUAGCUCAGCUGUUUUUAGACGGUCAGUUAAUGAGAUUAACUCACUGCAGUGGAUGUUUGAUGGAGCACCCAAACCGAAUGUUGGACUAAGUGCAGUAUCAGAGUGUGAGACCGAUCAUUUGAUCCUGAACUGAACGACUGAGGAAAUCCUGCUGAUCCAGAGGCAGAAAAAGGUCUGCAUUCUGCAGGAAAGAGAUUCAACAUCACGAAAGUCAGAAAUGAAUGUAGAUAAUAAACUGAGCAGUAAACUAUGAGCUGGAAGCCUCGUCUGCAGUGAGAGUGAUCUGUGCUCCUGUAAACUGCUGUAGAUGAUGAAGAUCCUGUAGAAGGUUUGGGUUUCUCUGAGUUAAACAGUGCAGUUUCAGUGCAGGAGGUUUUUGUACAGACACUCAAUGAGUUUCUAUCACUGUGGUUCGUUUUCGGUGGAGGAACUAAACUCUCUGUUGGACGGGUCACUCAGCCCUCCCUCUCUCUGCUGCCCCCCUCCAGUGAGGAGUUCCAGCAGGGGAAGGCUACACUGCUGUGUUUGGUCAGUAAGGGCUUUCCCUCAGACUGGACGCUGACUUGGAAGGUGGACGGUAGCAGGUGGAGCUCAGGUGUGGUGGUCUGCCCCGGCGUGCUGCAGCAGGUAAACGGCCUGUACAGCUGGAGCAGCACGCUGACCCUCACUGAGGAUCAGUGGAGGAAGACGAGGGUAGUGAGCUGUGAGGUCAGUCACGGCUCCAGCACAGCAGUGAAGAGUCUGAACACACAGCAGUGCACCGAGAACUAACACACACACACACACACACACACACACUCUCCACCAGUCUGCAGUGUGUAUGAGUGUCCUGCUGACAGCAGCUCCUGCAUCAUCUUACAGCGCCAUCUCAGAUCUUCUCAUCCUCAACUUCACAUCAUUCACUGCUUUAAUCACGUCUGCAAAAUAAAAUCUUUUACAAACUUCA